GUUUUCAGGGAUGGGAACUGGAAGCUCUUGAAAAUGAGGACUUCAGAGGUGGAGUUAAGAUGACAGCUUAGAAGCAACAAAAGUUCAGACCUCUGAAAACCCUUCCUUACAGAUCACAAACUGAAUGCUCCUAGGGGAUUGAAAUUCAAACUUAACAACAGGACAGAGCUGUGGAACCCUGCUUCUGGACUCAAAUCAAAAGGGAACAUCCAGACCAAUCCAGUUGAACACAAUCCCAUCAGGACUCCUCAGAGCUCAGGAAGACCAUGAUCCCCUCCCCCC
rnacentral:lncRNA from 1 species